CAGACUGCAAAAAAGGGCAAGCACUAAUACCAUCGAAAUGAACAGAAGUGUUGAAUUCGAUCAUUUGCUUUUCAUUUCUGGGAGUCAUUACAUUUUGGUACUGAAUUCCAGGACUGAAAAUACACUGUUCAUUGUCUAACCAGGAGACAAAAUCCCUCAGAUAAACUAGUAUUUGACUCACAAUAUGCCUUUCCCAUGUAAGCAAGGACCGUGUUUCAAAGAUUGAUUUUGAAGCUGAAAUACGGAAUAUACUUUCGCAAAGAGUUCCAUUCCUCUAGGUCUUAUAUAAGAAUAUCUGGUGUAUACACAGUAUUCAUUCAUUUAUUCAUCUAUCUCACCAAAAGUAUAUAUUUUCAAACUUCAAAAUAAGUUUUAUUUGGGAAGAGUUUCUUAUUUUGUUAAAGCUACAAGCAAGUUUCUUUCCCAAUUACACUUCUAGAGAUCUUAGCAGUUUCAGAGAUUUCAGUGUUCAAAAGUAUAUUUCAAAAUUAACAACAAAACCAAACCCACACCAAAAGGAAAUAGCUUUGAGAUUAGUUUGGGAUGUACAGUCAUUGAUUUCAGGCGCCAACACUAUUUACUGAGUGCUACACUAUACAAUCAAAGGCCUCUUUUGCAAACUAUCCUCGGGUCAUACUGAACUUGCUCCACCCCCACACAAACCUUACUCACACCUUCAUGCUUUUGCACAUGCUGUUCCCCUCAGCCUGGUAAAAUGCUUCAGACUACAAACACAGCUCACCUCAACAUGAAACCUUCCCUAACUCACCCACAGGCUAACAGAUCUAUUCGUCUCUAAUUCUUCAGUACUUAGUUUGACAUAUUUCUUACCACAAUUUCCUGCCAUUAUCUGUUUCUAUCUAUAUUGUGUACUAUUCUGUGUUUUAAGAGCAAAAGCGUGAUUCUCAUUUAUCUUUAUAUUUCCACUUGGUACACAGUAGGCCCUCAAAUGCCUUCUAUAAAUGCAAUUGAACAAUGUUUCUAUAGAAAAAUGUUCCUUCAGCAUUUAAAUUGAGAUAUGUAGCAUACUUCAGUCCCUCACCAUGAAGCUUCACCCCUUUCCAUAAAGACCAUUCAACAAACCCCAACAGUACUAAUUGUCCUGCUAUCUGAGCAUCCAGAAAAGAAUUAAACUGCAACUUUUUCUUUCUUCUUGAGAUGGAGUUUUGCUCUUGACGCUCAGGCUGGAGUACAAUGGCGUGAUCUCGGCUCACUGCAACCUCUGCCUCCAGGGUUCAAGUGAUUCUCCUGCCUCAGCCUCCUGAGUAGCUGGGAUUAUAGGCAUCUGCCACCAUGCCUGGCUAAUUUUUGUAUUUUUAGUAGAGAUGGGGUUUCACUCUGUUGGCCAGGCUGGUCUCAAACUCCUGACCUCAGGUGAUCUGCCCACCUUGGCCUCCCAAAAUGCUAGGAUUACAGGCAUAAGCCACCGCACCCAGCCUAAGCUGUAACUUUCUGUUUAGAUUUGGGUUUCCUAUGACAAUUAAAAAAGAAUUAAUACUGAAACAACUUGUUUUACUUCGAGCUGCAAAAACAAAUUACCAUAGACUGAGUGGCUUAUUGAGAGGUGACAAUGUGCUAGCAGCCCUCGCUCGCUCUCAGCGCCUCCUCGGCCUCGGUGUCCGCUCUGACCGCACUCAAGGAGCACUUCAGCCCGCCGCUGUGCUGUGGGGACCCC
rnacentral:lncRNA from 10 species